rnacentral:lncRNA from 1 species
UUCAUCCAUCACCCUUUGCCAAAAGAGUUAGCAAGCUAUUACAAACAUCAACUCCCCUAUUUUUUUUCUUUUCUUUUCCAAAACAGGGCAUACCCUGUUUCUUUUUCUUUUUUUUCUUCUUCUUCUUCCCACAAAUCAGCCCCUCUGUUUUUCCGAAUCAGAGCUCCCUUUCCCAGUUGAGAAGGCCCUCUUCAUAUAGAUCGCCCCAGAGCCCAUGGACAAGCUAGGAUUCCCCUGAUCGCGCGUGGAGAGGAGGUGACAACGGAGCGGAUCCGGCGCUGAUGGGUGCGACGCUUCACGGGAUGCUGGGGUCUUGGGCUCGGGCGGACGCUGUGGAGGAGAUUGCGGGCGGAUCCGGCGCUGAGGGGGU